rnacentral:rRNA from 1 species
UUGGAGGGCAAGUCUGGUGCCAGCAGCCGCGGUAAUUCCAGCUCCAAUAGCGUAUAUUAAAGUUGUUGCAGUUAAAAAGCUCGUAGUUGAAUUUCGGGAUCAAAUAAUCGGUCGUGCCUCCGGUACGUACUGGUUUUAUUGGUUCCUCCCUUCUGACGAACCAUGAUGUCAUUAAUUUGAUGUGGUGGAGAAUCAGGACUGUUACUUUGAAAAAAUUAGAGUGUUUAAAGCAGGCUAACGCCUGAAUACAUUAGCAUGGAAUAAUGAAAUAGGACGUUCGAUCCUAUUUUGUUGGUUUCUAGGAUUGACGUAAUGAUUAAUAGGGAUAGUUGGGGGCAUUAGUAUUCAAUUGUCAGAGGUGAAAUUCUUGGAUUUAUUGAAGACUAACUACUGCGAAAGCAUUUGCCAAGGAUGUUUUCAUUAAUCAAGAACGAAAGUUAGGGGAUCGAAGACGAUCAGAUACCGUCGUAGUCUUAACCAUAAACUAUGCCGACUAGGGAUCGGAUGAUGUUAAUUUUUUAAUGACUCAUUCGGCGCCUUACGGGGAAC